rnacentral:tmRNA from 1 species
GGGCCUGUACUGGCUUCGACGGGAACGUUUACAGCGAGGACUGCAAGCGGACGCGCCUGCCUUAGAGCGCAAAACAAAUACGUGCAAACGCAUUUGAAACUGCAAAAGCUCGUGUUGCGAACUUGUUCGCGACUCCUUCUUUUGCAACAGCAUUAGCCUAACGGCCAAUGCCGUUUCGUCACCUGACUUCUACUAAGGUAACGAGGCGUCAAAAAGUAGAACCGGGAUUGUGCGCACAUCGGUACAACUCCUCAGAAUAAGAUGUUGCUCAGUCGGGUUUUUUGAAAGCUCUCAAGCCCAGCUGCUAAGACUUUAAACUUUCUACGCUUGUAGACGUCUUCGUUCGUAGGUUCUCGGACCCGGGUUCAACUCCCGGCAGGUCCACCA